AAGCGAGCAACGUCGUUGCCACUCCAGCCCCGUUAGACGCCCCAGCCACCACAACUACGAUCCCGCUGGUCACCUCACUGCCCAACCAACAGUCACCCGCUGGAGACUCCCAUCCCCCGUUCGUCGUCUCUUCUCCAAUCAACAAUGAUAAAAUUCUUCAAGUCCAUGUCUCUUCUCCAAUCAACAAUGAUAAAAUUCUUCAAGUCCAUGAAGGAUUCACAUUUAGGAUGUGAAUCCUCCUCAGGUUCGUCGUUCUAUUUUAAUUUUUAUCAAAAAUUUCUUCUACCCUUUUUUUUAGUUUUGACAGAUCCCAUGAUAAAAUUGAUAUGGAUUGAUUGAGAAUUUUGUCAAUUUUUGUGGAAUUCUGUUUGUUUAGUCAACU
rnacentral:lncRNA from 1 species